ensembl:lncRNA
AAAGCUUGGAAAAUUUGUUCUAACAUAAUAAAGAGAUACAAAGUCUAUGAGAUAAUCUGCAGUUGACACUCCUUCUUCAGAAACAGUCUUAUAUAUGGAGUUAUCAAAUGCACAUUCAACCAAGAGUUGUCUGUAGAAAAUUUCCAAGGAAGUAGUAUUUAACCCAGUAGCUUCUGCAGAAAUGUCACGCAGAUCGUGUUGGGUAAGGCCAAAAUUUAACUCAGUUGUUCAGAGCUUAGUAAGAGAUACAGAGCAUCCCAAAGCCAAGCUUUAAAUAUGCUCACUGUCAGGACAGUAUUGUGCCUUUUACUGAAGUCUAAACCAAACCCAUUCUAGACAGAACUCCCAUCCUAAUACAUGACAUUUAUACUUGCUGAAAAUCAGGACAUCACUAAGUUGCAGACAUUAAUGUCUUUGAUGCUAGAAUAUUCCUUAUUAUUCUUAUGUCUCACUGUACCCAAGUUGCACUGGGGUCCUCUAGAGCACCAAGGGUUUGGGGAGUUGCUAUAAAUAUGAACAAACCACUACCUUAGCUAUUCUCUUCUUUUUCCUCCCCAGUGACUACUGUGUGGAGGUGGAGGACUGGUUCAGAUUAGCUGCCAUUCUGUAGGUGAGAUAAAUUCCACUGCUGAUUAAGAAUGAGAAGAUGUAAAGAAUAGAACUUCAAAUACAUAUGGAGACAAAGACACUGGGACAAGGGCCAGGCUUCAGCCAGAGAUUCAAAGGGACGUGACAGUAAAAUUAUUAAUAUAUAAGAUUUUAGAAGUCUGGCUAGGGGGUUUAUUCUAGUUGUAAGAACAUCUGUGAUUGUUGUUAUCUCCCCAAUUUUGCUCUAAGAUAGCACUAGUGUAUUAUCUGAUGUAUUCACCAAGAGCCAUCUCUCCAAACCAUCAUGUUGUUUAUUGCUCAAUUCCUUCUUGGAAUAGCUGCUUAAUAAAUCCAUGCAUCCCAGAAAUUUAUAUAUUUUUGAAAUGAUAAGUUUUCAUUGCCAAUUUUUUUUUUUUAAAGAAAGGGGAGCAGAGGGUGAGGUGCUGGCUGGACAUUCUCUCACUCUGAUCAUAGUUACUAAAGCUUCUGUCUGACCCUCCUGAGCCAUACUUGUGUUGUGAUGCCCUUGGAGUACCCAGAUUCUCCGGCAGGAAUUUGUUUCAGGCUCUGAACCAGAGAGGAGUGGGAAGAACCAGGGCUGCCACUCUGCUACACUGCUCCCAUAUGUGUCUCUUCUGUUUGCAGUUGCCAUUUUGAUCCUUAGACAUCUUUGGUGAUUUUCACCGCACUCAUGGUCCGUGGGAAAGUUCCUCUUGAGAAGAAUCAAUAGUAUGCAGUCCUCCACACUGUGAACUGUUACCCUCCAGAGAAAAGGAUUAGAAAUAGUAUUGUCCUCAAGAGCUGAGAAAACUUGCAGAUUUUCCAUGUACAAUAAACAGUUUCUAUAAUUACCAGGAAAACAAAACAGAGGCAGAGCUGUGCAGCAGGGCCAGCCCAUCUCAUACGCACUGCUGUGAUAAUGAAAUCCAAACCCUGUGGAAUUGCAGCCACAUUAUUCUCACUUGCUUUAAAGGUCAGCUAAGAAGCUGAUUUCUCAAAUGGGCUCAUAGCUCUGAGAAAACGUAACACUAGUCAUUUCUUCCAACAAAUUGCAGUUGUCAGAGAAACUGGAUUAGUAAGCUCAUGGAGCUAAAAAUAGACACUAUGGGCUUGCCAGAGAGGGGUAAAAUCAGUGACAGAGGUGAAGUCACAUCAAAAUAUCAUAACAUCUGGAAAAAAAGCAAAAAAAAUGCUCAACUGAAAGCAAGUUAGCCAUAAAAUUACAUUAAAAAUAAUUGCAAUAAAAAGAAGAAGAAUGACAAGUUUUAGUAUUAAUUCUGUUUUACUCACCUUCUAAAUUCACCUUGCAGUUUCUGUUUUAUCUGCUGGAUCAGUUUGGCCACAGUCCCUUCAAAGUUAAGUACAACAAGUUAAGCACUGAUAGUCAUGUUAAAGCCAUUAUUUGAAUACUGGAAAAGAAGUUUUUGGCUUGACAUUUCCAUCUUCUUCGCAGGAGGGACUAAGAGAUAAUUUAUUGCUAAAUUUAUUCAACUGAAAAAUAAAAAACUAAACUCCAAAAACCCAAAUCUAAUAAUGGAGCUAUAGUGAAAGAAAAUUUCCAAACCUCAGUGAAUCUUUAGUAAAAAGUGGUAAUUAUUUUUCAUUGCCUCAAAUAUUUACAUUUUAAAGAAUUCUCUUCUGCGCCAUGAUUUUACAAGUUCAUAUUCCUUCUUGCUUGGAUUUAACAAACUAAACAAAAUAAACCACUUCUUUAUUCUUAGUUCUUUUUCAGUUACUUAUUUUCUGCACCAGGGCAAUUCCACCAUACUGUGUAUGACCCUGAAGGAACAGCAAUCCAAUGCAGAAAGGGAACUCAGCCUGUUUGGUCAAGGUGAAAAAUUCUUCCAGGUACAGGCUGAGUCUCAGCUGAAGACAGGGCUGGCAGUAGUUGCAUGCAGUUUCUAUUAUGACUUAAGUAAUUAAUUUUAUUAUAUAUUCACAAGCUGACCUAUGCAUGGCUCAGGAAUAACCUUCACCACUCUCUUGACAAACUCUUUCUCUAGUAUGUGUUUUUUUUUGCACACCUGUUAUAACAUCUCUGCAUUUCAAAUCUGAGGCACUGACAAGUGUAGGGUGUAAUUAAUAACUUAUGUCAGUGAAGCAAAUCACUGUGAAAAAUAUUUGUAAAGUGUUUAUGCUCAUUGUCUUUUGGAUAUGUUAUAAACUAGAGUUCUUUUUGCAAAGUUUUGUUCUUGCAAAAGUCUUCAUUGUAAAAGAGGUAAGAGUUAUCUUGAUUUUGGGAUUUAAUUAGCAUCAGUGCCUUUUAUCUGGUAUUCAGUGUGUCCCAUUAUUACCAGGAUGUUAGGGUUCAGUGCUGGAACAGAAAUGUCAGACCAAGCAGCACCAGCAGUUAUCUGCAUUUCAUGUCCUACGCAUUAUCUACGCAUUCCAUGGCAUACUUUGAAUUUUAUAGAACAUGAAAUGACUGCUUAAAUUUGUAGAAAUAUAGUUAGGGAUAAAUAAUACAAAAUAUAUGGACAUUGUCUGAUAGGUAUCUUGAGAUAUUUUGGAUAUAUUCUCACCUACCCUUGGGAUUACCCUAAACCAAAUCAUGCACCUUUAGCAUCCAUCCUUAUUUCAUUGAAAAGCAUGGCCAUCUUCAUCCCUUUACUUUUUAAACUUCAUUUUCUUUAAAGCCCAGAGAUUAAUGACACAAGUAUUUUCCAGCAAAGUCUUAUAAGACAACUGGGGUGGGGUUGGUUUUUUUUUUUGGUUUUUUUGUUUGUUUGUUUGUUUGUUUUGUUUGUUUUUGUUUGUUUUGUUGGUUUUUUUUCCCCUAAAUAUGGUAUGCUCCACUGCUAGGACUGACUACAUUCCUGCUUGAGAGAAGUUUGACCUUUUCUAGUUAGCUAAAAUUCUGCUAAAGUUCUUCUUUGCAGGAUCCUAUAGUGUUUUGAAGAGGCUGUGUGUACUCUGCUUGUGCAAGUUAUGGGUGCAACACAUAAAUAUUAAGGUGUUCUCAGAGCUCUACUGGAGAGUCCAACAAAUUUCACAGCCACAAAUAAUCCUCUCACUGUCUUUGCCACUUUGCUCUGCCUCUGUAGCCAACUUUAGAGAAGGAACUGAAUGCUACUAAAAAUAAUCUACUGCUUUAUGUUUAUAUAUUUCAGUGGGAUUAGCUUGUAAUAAGCAGAAAUUUUUGCAGUACAAGCUUGUAUUAUUGGCAUGAAAUUCACAGCCUGGGCCUACCAAGUUCAGUCUCUUCCCAAAGCCUUUGAGAACAAAUUGAACUUUGCAUGCAGUAUCUCACCUAGAAGAAGAGAUAACAAUUUUCCAGUUUUCUGUGACUGUGAUUCUGACUCUCCCUUCUAAUCAGGAGUCAUAACAUUCAAGAAAGUGUGAAUGGAAAGUCAUUUUAAAAUGUUUCAAUUGUUUAAACAAUUUUUCCAGGAACCAGCUGAAAUUGGUGAUUUAACUGGUGAUUCAUUCAGGCUCAUCUUCAUUUCCUCUGAAAGGAAUGCUAGAACACAAAUAACUUUUCUGCCUUAGAGUUGUAUCUUUCAACUUUUCCCUUUAAUUUCAGUGUUGCCAAAGUAAAAUCUGAGGGCUAAUUCCAAUUUAAGGUGGUCACAAACAUCUGUAGUAACAGACCAGAUAUAUGUGAAGAUAACUUGGAUUAUUGUAGGAAGACGGAUUUCACCUGAGUUCAUGAUGCUCUAUACUGGGAGUAGGAAUUUUAGGAAGGGUUAUGAACCACCCACUGGUGGUGGUUCAUUUUCUGAGAGCAGACCAAAGGGACAGAACUCAAUAGAGUGCAGUUUUAAUUUCAGUUUUAUGAAUGCUGAGAAUUGCUGCGUGUCUUGUUUCAAUUAUCUCUGUUCUGGAUGCUGGAUAAAAAUAUUUGGUCCUCUUAAAAUGUGAAGACUGACCACCUCAAAGCCUGCAGUCCUGUGGAAAUGGACAAAUAUCCAUCCCCUGGGUGAAAAUGCUUUUUUUGUAGUUCUGUAAUACUGUUUUAGUGUUGUCUUAUAGAGCUUAUCUGAAGAGACUUGCACAAGCAUUCUGCACUAAUAAGAUUACAACCUUGCACUAUCAACAAUAGUUGCUUAGUAUUAAAAUAAUCUUGGAUGCCAUUAAAGAGUACUAGAGCUCUAUCAGGGUUUAGAGCACUGAGGUGUUUGAGAACCUGAUCCUGCUUGUACAAAAUUUCUCAGAGACAAAGGAUAAUCUAAUUAAUAAGAGUAUUUCCAUAUUAGUAAUACACAGAGGAGGUAAGGCAGUGUCCCUAGAGAUUUCUGUCAACUUAAUGAUUAAGAGAUUAAUUUUGGUGCUCUUUAAAUCUGAACAUUAUUUUAAAACAUCAGCCUGUGAUGUUUUAACUGGGAAGGGAUGGGGUGGGUUAGAGUUUUACUGUCAGAUGGCAUGAACAGAAAAGCUCAGAAAGCAUUAUAAGCCAGGACCUUCCCACACUGAAAUCAAGGGAUUAUUUGCAAAAUUGCAUCUGAUUACUUGUCCUGUAACUAGCUGUUCAGCAAAGGAAUCCACCUGCCAACAGAAGCAGAGUCCAUACAAAGUACCACAUGCUGCAUUUCAGUUUUUUUAUUGGGAUUUGUUUGGUAGACUUAGUGGUCUGGAAGUUCCAGUAAGUACCUCUGGUUGAAAGUUGAUAUUUCAGUUAUGAUUGCUUCCCCAAACCAACUGAAUUUAUUACUAACCAAAGACUUACCUACUUGAAAAUAAAAACAAAAAACAAACCAACAAACCAGUAAAUUUGGUUCUGUCAUUUGUGUCUUUGACUGUGAGCAGUUGAAGUGCAUGAUGUAUGUACUAAUCAGGCCUGUGCUGUGGCAUUGAACAAGUUAUUCAGGGCUGCAGCACCAGUAUAACACAUUCAGAAUUCAGUAUUAAUCCCUCCAUGGGAACAAGAGUCUAUGUAAAAACUUGAUGUGCCAUAUGUGUAGGCCAUGGGAAAAUUGUGUGUGCAGUGAACUAUAUACGGUCUUAAAAGCUUUAACAUUUGUACUGCUCUUCCUAUUACAGAAUGUACGUCUUGAUAGCUGUUGAUCCUAUGAACUUCUGAAAAAAAUGUAAUCUAAAGUUUAUUCUUCUUGUCUUAAAAUUACUGUUUUGUGUCUAACUGUUUACACAGACCUGCAUACAGCAAAGGGUCUUUCUCUGUAUGUUGCUGGGAAAUGGAAAAGCAGAUGCUAUUUGUAAAUCUUGCAGGCUUAGAGAGAUCAGUGAAUGCCUUUCCUGAAUCUCCUCCUGAUAAGCCACUUCUAUUUACUAGCAAAUGCAAACAGUGCCAAUAGCCUGGGCCUUCUUUAGAGGAAACAAAACAGCCUUGUUCUGUUCCACUUCUAUUGAUACUUCUUAUUUUAAUCUUUUUGCCUCCUUUUGAGUAGACUUUGGUGAUAGAAUUCUUCCAAAGUGUAACUGAGGACAGUUUGCCUUUUUUACUCCUCUUUUUCAAAGCCACAGAAGGCCUCAAACAAGAAGAAAAAACUUUACAAAACUCAUGCAGGGAUGUUGUUAACAGGUAGCAGAAGGAUAAAAUGGCCUUCUCAGAGUACCCCAGACUAUCUUUUAACAGCGUGCCUGCACUGUAUUGUGACUUGACAUCUCGCUUUCAUAAUGUGACCUGCUGUUAAUGGUGUUUGUUGCAAUGAGGUCCUUUUAGUUUGUCCUAAAAGAUUUUACUUGUCACCAUAUUAGAAACAUAAUGUACACUCUAUAAGAAAAGCAAUAUACAAUAUAUUAUACAUCUUCUAUUUCAAUGCCUCCAGUUUUAGGCUAGUAUUCAUAUCAAUGUUUAUAAUCAAAAUACAAGUUUUCUUGUUCUUCACAGGACCGAGCAAAGUUUUGCCUUGUCUAAAUACUAACACUAAUGUUUCUAUUCAACAAAUACUCUUUUCUCAUGCUUCUAGUUUUUUUGUGGCAGGCUCCAUCCUUCUGAUUCCCCAUUAAUGCAUUUGAAAGGGAAAAGUAAUGAGCUAUUUCAGUGCAUGACCUUUGCACAGUACCUGAUUCAUAAAGAUAAAUAGAUCCAAAAUUUCAUUUAUGAGUUACUAGUGAUCAGCAAAACAACAAAAAUCCUUUGAAGUUCAGCUGAGGAAAUUCUGAAGUUCUUACAUUGCUUAUUCAGUUUUGCAGUUUCUUGAGUCAUUAUAAUGGAUAUAUUUGAUGAGGCUUUUGCCGUAGACACUGGCAUCUUCAUAGAAGUUAUUCUAAUUUCUGCUUCUAGUUAUAUGUGGAAGUGUACUGUAGUGAAGAAAUUAUCUAGAUUAAAAAAAAAAAAAAAGAAAAA